GCUGUGGAAAGCUGAUGGAGAUUCUGGGGGCAAAUCUCACAAUAUUGUAGGGGGCCCGUAUGAGUAGAUCCCCCAAGAUUUUUUAACUCCUAGAGUUGUCCACACUGGGUCUCCAGUGAUUCUUCAGUUACAGUUCUGCACUUCCUCCUUUGACACUGGUUCCUGCCGUGGCUUCUGCUAGCAGCUCUCUGCUCAGGUCCUGUAUUACAGAUGCAGUGUUGGCCUUUCACAUUGAAAUUAAAGGAAAACUAUGAUACAUGGAACCAACGAUUCAUCCUUCAGGAUUAUCUUUACUAGUAACAUGAAUACACAAAAACUUGUCUACAUGAAGAUAUGUAUUUAAAGGUGGCUGCAAGAUUUCUAGCACUAUCAAAAAUAUCUUACAUUGAAACGGUGGCUUCAAUCUUAGAAGGUCUCUUGUGAACAUAAGGUGUGUGCCUGAAAAACAGCACCUGCUUCUGGUCAUCAUAGGUCCUUGAGAGUGAGAAGCCUCUAGCAAGAAGAAUCUGAAGUCAUCUUUGUGCCCAGAAGUUGAAGAAAGAGUCACAGGGGUAGCUUCAGCCUAGCAUCAUCCUGUAUCCAUGGGCCUGAGCAAGACCAUCCCUGAACAGCUAGCAGCCCACCAGCCUGCAGUGACAUCAUCCUGCCAGCCUGGAGGAUGCAGCCCACAUCUCCUAUACACAAGGGAUGUCACUGCCGACUCAGUCUCCUGACCUUUGAAAAAUUAGGAGGAUGUGCAUGGAUGCGAUUGGAAACUGUGAAGCACCGCGCAAUGAAAAACGGCUGUAAUCUUCCCUUGAACAUA